AGAUGAAAGCUAGAGGGUCAGAGGGGGGCAUAGAGAUGAAAGGUAGAGGGUCAGAGGGGGACAUAGAGAUGAAAGGUAGAGGGUCAGAGGGCGGGCAUAGAGAUGAAAGGUAGAGGGUCAGAGGGGGACAUAGAGAUGAAAGGUAGAGGGUCAGAGGGGGGACAUAUGAGAGGUAGAGGGUCAGAGGGGGACACGGAGAUGAAGGCUAGAAGGUCAGAGGGGGACAUAAAGAUGAAAGGUAGAGGGUCAGGAAGGGACAUAGAGAUGAAAGCUAGAGGGUGGGGGGCAUAGAGAUGAAAGGUAGAGGGUCAGACGCGGAUAUAGAGAUGAAAGCUAGAAGGUCAGAAAGAGCCAUAGGGAUGAACGCUAGAGGUUCAGAGGGGGGCAUAGAGAUGAAAGCUAGAAGGUCAGAGGGCGGGCAUAGGGUUGAAAGCUAGAGGGUCAGAGGGGGA
rnacentral:lncRNA from 1 species